CCGAGUUUACAACUCCCAAACCCCAUGUGAACAUACCAUACUGUUGCUUCGGCGGGAUCGUCCCGGGUGCGGCCGCGAGGCCAGCCCCGGAUCCAGGCGCCCGCCGGAGGACCACAAACUCUACUGUUUUCUUAGCGAAUUUAUCUGAGUGGCUAUAAGCAAAAAAAUGAAUCA
rnacentral:misc_RNA from 1 species